UCUCCGUAGGUGAACCUGCGGAGGGAUCAUUACCGAGUGAGGGGGCCCCGCGCCCCCGACCUCCCAACCCUUUGUUUCAACCCACUCUGUUGCCUCGGGGGGCGACCCGGCCCUCGUGCCGGGCGACCCCGGAGGUCCAUCAAACUCUGCAUCCUUGCGUCGGAGUAUUGAAAGCAAAUCAAUCAAAACUUUUAACAACGGAUCUCUUGGUUCUGGCAUCGAUGAAGAACGCAGC
rnacentral:misc_RNA from 1 species